UUCCGUGCAUAAGAAGCCGAAUGAGGAAGACAAACAUAAAGAUGAAGUGCUUAAUUCAAGGUCACACAAUGUCGGGGAUGGACCUCCAGAUUUCCUUACUGGUGAGACGUGGUCUUGUAACACAGUGGUUAAGAAUGUGACUUUGGAGCCAGCCUGCUAGGGGCUGAAUUCUGACUCAGCCAUUUACUAACUGUGUGACCUUAGGUCACAGAAUUUUCCACACUCCUUGACGGAGGUGCUUAACCCUUAUCCAUCAGCAUUCUCAGACAGCACCUCCGGUUAGGGACAGUAUCUGACCGUCCGACAUCCCUGCAGCCCCCAUGUGUCACACAGACUCAGCCUCAGGUAGAUGGUUUCCGUAGAUGGUGGCUUUCUUUGGACCCUUGACAUCAACCAGUUACUAUUUGACUCUUCUGCAGAACCCCCUGUUGACCCCUGCUUUGAGGUGGCAGAGUUAACACUACUCUUCGUUAUAAGCUCUCGUCUGGGGCAACUCAGAAGAACGGGACCAGAUGUGCAGAGGUAAUGAAUACCAGGGAAUCAGGAAACCACUGGAUCAGUUCUUUGAGCCACAGAACAACACUCAUCCCAGCAGCUGGGAAGCUAUCUGCAAAAGUCCAUCUGCAGAAAGGGCUUCCUGGUCUUGCGUGUGGCUGGGCCAUUUCUCUGGAUGCAGGUUUUUCAUUAUACAGUCUUCUCAAAGAAACACCUGCUCUCAACACC
rnacentral:antisense_RNA from 1 species